UUAAGAUGGCGCAUUGAUCUUGGUCGCACUCGCGUGACGUUUCGUUUCAAUCUCGUGCACGCCGCUGCGUUUGUAUCGCUACGACGAUCACGCCUAUAAUAGCAGAAUUGUGGCAUUGGAGAGCCGCGCAUUGCGCGAAAACUCGGUAUGUGACAACGCGACGUCCGUCUCGUUUCCGAAAAGUUGGUACGCGCGCGUUGGCAAUGCCGAGGUGAAUUCCUGUGAGUCGUCGUCGGAGUGACGUCAGACGCUCUGCCGGCUUCGCCCCGCUGUCAACUCGCUUGUGCGGUGGAAUAAUCCGUUGGAUGAUUCUCUCGAUUAUACCUGCUUGCUGCAGAUUCUUAUGCAAGCGUGGCGCACGAAGAAAAUCAAUAAUUACCUGCACGUCUUUACCUCAAGGUCGAGUCAACGGAGAUUGAUAUCACGAAUCCGGGACAAUAUGAAAGAGAAAGUGCACAUACGGGAAAUGAUAACAAAAGACGCUUUAUUGUAGUUAGAUAUCAAUCAGUAGAACAAGAAGUCACAGUUAAUAGAGACGUUAAUUCGAAAUUCCGUUACGCACAUAUGUCAACGGUUUCAAUUACAUUCUGUUUUGUUAUUUUUAAACAAAAAGAACUCGACCAAUGUUUAUGAAAUAUUUAAAACAGAAAAUUAGGGUGAUCCAGAAUCAUCGCUGGAAUUUGUUGCGUUAUUAUUAUUUUUUUAAUAUGUUAUUUUAUAAUUUAUAACAUAAAGAUAUAUAAAAAACAUCAUUAUUAGUCAUCAUUUGAAUGCAGUCGCAUUGAUAGAUGAAUUUAUGUUUCUCCGCUUGUGCUGUGCACCCGAUCGUUCUUCAUUU